GGUGAAGAUCCCGUCCGCUGGAUGACCAAGGGUUCCAGGGCCACGUUCAUCGUCCCUGGGUGAGUCGGGUCCUAAGGCGAGGCCGACAGGCGUAGUCGAAUGGAUGAACGGGUGGAUAUUCCCGUACCGACCAUGGACCGGCAAAACCGAGACGGUGAGUACUAACCUCCGCCUCGUGGUGGUUCCUUCCUUCGGGUUGGUUCCGCCGCGUGGUGUUGGGAGCGUAGCCGCAGUAGGUCAGCGCAGGGGUGACACGGAAUGGGAGCCGGCCGCGGAGGUGGUUUUCCGUGGUCAAGCACGCAGCCAGUCAUGUAGGCAAAUCCGCAUGGCGCGCAUGGCGAGGUGUGAUGAUGGGAGCCGUUAUGGUUCGAUAUCCGGUUGUCCAGGCCGUCGAGAAAAGCCUCGGCGUGAGGGCCAUGGCCGCCCGUACCCCAAACCGACACUGGUGGUCAGGUAGAGAAUACCAAGGCGAUCGAGCGAAUCCUGGUCAAGGAACUCGGCAAAUCACUCCCGUUCCUUCGGUUUAAGGGAGACCCCCGAUGGUGAACACACUUGCUGUGGGAGCUUUUGGGGGUGGCACAGACCAGGGGGUAGCGACUGUUUACCAAAAACACAGGUGCAUGCGAAGGCGAAAGCCGCUGUAUAUGCACUGACGCCUGCCCGGUGCCGGAAGGUUAAGAGGAUCCGUCAGUCCUUCGGGAUGAAGCGGUGAAUUCAAGCCCCGGUAAACGGCGGUGGUAACUAUAACCAUCCUAAGGUAGCGAAAUUCCUUGUCGGGUAAGUUCCGACCUGCACGAAUGGCGUAACGACUUCCCCACUGUCUCGACCAGGAGCUCGGCGAAAUUGCAGUACGAGUAAAGAUGCUCGUUAAGCGCAGAAGGACGAAAAGACCCCGGGACCUUUACUAUACCUUGGUAUUGGCGUUAGGCGCGGAUUGUGUAGCAUAGGCGGGAGGCUUCGAAGCGUGGGCGCCAGCUCAUGUGGAGCCGCAAGGUGAAAUACCGCUCUGUUCUCGUUUGACGUCUAACCUCGACAAGUCAUCCUUGUCAGGGACAGUGCCUGGCGGGUAGUUCAACUGGGGCGGUUGCCUCCCAAAGAGUAACGGAGGCGCUCAAAGGUCCGCUCAGCCCGGUUGGCAAUCGGGUGUCGAGUGUAAUCGCACAAGCGGGCUUGACUGCGAGGACGACGGUCCGAGCAGGGACGAAAGUCGGAGAUAGUGAUCCGGUGCCGGCGCACGGGCGCGGCAUCGCUCAACGGAUAAAAGGUACCCCGGGGAUAACAGGCUGAUCAUUCCCAAGAGUCCAUAUCGACGGGAUGGUUUGGCACCUCGAUGUCGGCUC
rnacentral:rRNA from 1 species